UGCCAGCCGCCGCGGUAAUACGUAGGGUGCGAGCGUUAAUCGGAAUUACUGGGCGUAAAGAGUGCGCAGGCGGCUCUCUAAGACAGGUGUGAAAUCCCCGGGCUUAACCUGGGAAUGGCGCUUGUGACUGGAGAGCUUGAGUGUGGCAGAGGGGAAUGGAAUUCCUGGUGUAGCAGUGAAAUGCGUAGAUAUCGGGAGGAACACCGAUGGCGAAGGCAGUUCCCUGGGCCAACACUGACGCUCAUGGACGAAAGCCAGGGGAGCGAAAGGGAUUAGAUA
rnacentral:rRNA from 1 species